UGGGGAAUUUUGCACAAUGGGGGAAACCCUGAUGCAGCGACGCCGCGUGAUUUAGAAGGCCUUCGGGUUGUAAACCGCUUUCAGCAGGGAAGAUAAUGACGGUACCCUGUGAGGAAGCCCCGGCUAACUACGUGCCAGCAGCCGCGGUAAUACGUAGGGGGCUAGCGUUAUCCGGAUUUACUGGGCGUAAAGGGUGCGUAGGUGGUCUUUCAAGUCGGUGGUUAAAGGCUACGGCUCAACCGUAGUUAGCCUCCGAAACUGGAAGACUUGAGUGCAGGAGAGGAAAGUGGAAUUCCCAGUGUAGCGGUGAAAUGCGUAGAUAUUGGGAGGAACACCAGUAGCGAAGGCGGCUUUCUGGACUGCAACUGACACUGAGGCACGAAAGCGUGGGUAGCAAACAGG
rnacentral:rRNA from 1 species